UACUAUAAUAAUACUUUUGUGGUAGGUGUGCUUGGAGACCCAGUGGGACUUAAUAUUCAGCAGCUGCUACUUCUUGAAGAGUACGCUGCGCAAGAGCUCCACCGAGUUACCGCCAUACGACUCGCAUUUCAACAUCACCAACCCGUACACGUAUCAGUACUUCAACGUAACUGCUGAGAUGACCGUCUUCGCACAUGAACAUGAGAAAGACUACAUUGAGCAAAUCGUUAAUUUCUUCGGUCGACAACCGCCAACGGAGUACUCUGUGGAGCUCUACAACACUAAUAAGUCCUUACCCCAUCAAGUGGUGACAGAGAACUGUUCGAUCGCGGCGGACGCGAUCCGGCUGGAGUGUUCGGUGCGGGCGGAGGAGGGUGCUACGUGCUGUGGCUGAAUCACCGCGCGCCGUGGACGUUCGGCGUGAUGAGCUCGCUGUCGUCGGUGAAGGCGGAGUGGUGCCGCACGGCGCCGGCGGGGCUGGCGGCGGAGCGCGGCGCGGGCGGGUGGGGCGGCUGGGGCGCGCUGUGGGCG